UACGUAGGGUGCAAGCGUUGUCCGGAAUUAUUGGGCGUAAAGAGCUCGUAGGCGGUUUGUCGCGUCUGCUGUGAAAACUGGGGGCUCAACCCCCAGCCUGCAGUGGGUACGGGCAGACUAGAGUGCGGUAGGGGAGAUUGGAAUUCCUGGUGUAGCGGUGGAAUGCGCAGAUAUCAGGAGGAACACCGCUGGCGAAGGCAGAUCUAUGGGCCGUAACUGACGCUGAGGAGCGAAAGCAUGGGGAGCGAACAGG
rnacentral:rRNA from 1 species